rnacentral:rRNA from 1 species
GGUCAAGUGAAGAAGCGCAUACGGUGGAUGCCUUGGCAGUCAGAGGCGAUGAAAGACGUGGUAGCCUGCGAAAAGCUUCGGGGAGUCGGCAAACAGACUUUGAUCCGGAGAUCUCUGAAUGGGGGAACCCACCUAGGAUAACCUAGGUAUCUUGUACUGAAUCCAUAGGUGCAAGAGGCGAACCAGGGGAACUGAAACAUCUAAGUACCCUGAGGAAAAGAAAUCAACCGAGAUUCCCUUAGUAGUGGCGAGCGAACGGGGAUUAGCCCUUAAGCUUCAUUGAUUUUAGCGGAACGCUCUGGAAAGUGCGGCCAUAGUGGGUGAUAGCCCCGUACGCGAAAGGAUCUUUGAAGUGAAAUCGAGUAGGACGGAGCACGAGAAACUUUGUCUGAACAUGGGGGGACCAUCCUCCAAGGCUAAAUACUACUGACUGACCGAUAGUGAACCAGUACCGUGAGGGAAAGGCGAAAAGAACCCCGGAGAGGGGAGUGAAAUAGAACCUGAAACCGUAUGCGUACAAGCAGUGGGAGCCUACUUGUUAGGUGACUGCGUACCUUUUGUAUAAUGGGUCAGCGACUUAUAUUCAGUGGCGAGCUUAACCGUAUAGGGUAGGCGUAGCGAAAGCGAGUCUUAAUAGGGCGUUUAGUCGCUGGGUAUAGACCCGAAACCGGGCGAUCUAUCCAUGAGCAGGUUGAAGGUUAGGUAACACUGACUGGAGGACCGAACCCACUCCCGUUGAAAAGGUAGGGGAUGACUUGUGGAUCGGAGUGAAAGGCUAAUCAAGCUCGGAGAUAGCUGGUUCUCCUCGAAAGCUAUUUAGGUAGCGCCUCAUGUAUCACUCUGGGGGGUAGAGCACUGUUUCGGCUAGGGGGUCAUCCCGACUUACCAAACCGAUGCAAACUCCGAAUACCCAGAAGUGCCGAGCAUGGGAGACACACGGCGGGUGCUAACGUCCGUCGUGAAAAGGGAAACAACCCAGACCGCCAGCUAAGGUCCCAAAGUUGUGGUUAAGUGGUAAACGAUGUGGGAAGGCUUAGACAGCUAGGAGGUUGGCUUAGAAGCAGCCAUCCUUUAAAGAAAGCGUAAUAGCUCACUAGUCGAGUCGGCCUGCGCGGAAGAUGUAACGGGGCUCAAACCACACACCGAAGCUGCGGGUGUCACGUAAGUGACGCGGUAGAGGAGCGUUCUGUAAGCCUGUGAAGGUGAGUUGAGAAGCUUGCUGGAGGUAUCAGAAGUGCGAAUGCUGACAUGAGUAACGACAAUGGGUGUGAAAAACAUCCACGCCGAAAGACCAAGGGUUCCUGCGCAACGUUAAUCGACGCAGGGUUAGUCGGUUCCUAAGGCGAGGCUGAAAAGCGUAGUCGAUGGGAAACAGGUUAAUAUUCCUGUACUUCUGGUUACUGCGAUGGAGGGACGGAGAAGGCUAGGCCAGCUUGGCGUUGGUUGUCCAAGUUUAAGGUGGUAGGCUGAAAUCUUAGGUAAAUCCGGGGUUUCAAGGCCGAGAGCUGAUGACGAGUCGUCUUUUAGAUGACGAAGUGGUUGAUGCCAUGCUUCCAAGAAAAGCUUCUAAGCUUCAGGUAACCAGGAACCGUACCCCAAACCGACACAGGUGGUCGGGUAGAGAAUACCAAGGCGCUUGAGAGAACUCGGGUGAAGGAACUAGGCAAAAUGGCACCGUAACUUCGGGAGAAGGUGCGCCGGCUAGGGUGAAGGAUUUACUCCGUAAGCUCUGGCUGGUCGAAGAUACCAGGCCGCUGCGACUGUUUAUUAAAAACACAGCACUCUGCAAACACGAAAGUGGACGUAUAGGGUGUGACGCCUGCCCGGUGCCGGAAGGUUAAUUGAUGGGGUUAGCGCAAGCGAAGCUCUUGAUCGAAGCCCCGGUAAACGGCGGCCGUAACUAUAACGGUCCUAAGGUAGCGAAAUUCCUUGUCGGGUAAGUUCCGACCUGCACGAAUGGCGUAACGAUGGCGGCGCUGUCUCCACCCGAGACUCAGUGAAAUUGAAAUCGCUGUGAAGAUGCAGUGUAUCCGCGGCUAGACGGAAAGACCCCGUGAACCUUUACUGUAGCUUUGCACUGGACUUUGAGCCUGCUUGUGUAGGAUAGGUGGGAGGCUUUGAAGCGUGGACGCCAGUUCGCGUGGAGCCAUCCUUGAAAUACCACCCUGGCAUGCUUGAGGUUCUAACUCUGGUCCGUAAUCCGGAUCGAGGACAGUGUAUGGUGGGCAGUUUGACUGGGGCGGUCUCCUCCUAAAGAGUAACGGAGGAGUACGAAGGUGCGCUCAGACCGGUCGGAAAUCGGUCGCAGAGUAUAAAGGCAAAAGCGCGCUUGACUGCGAGACAGACACGUCGAGCAGGUACGAAAGUAGGUCUUAGUGAUCCGGUGGUUCUGUAUGGAAGGGCCAUCGCUCAACGGAUAAAAGGUACUCCGGGGAUAACAGGCUGAUACCGCCCAAGAGUUCAUAUCGACGGCGGUGUUUGGCACCUCGAUGUCGGCUCAUCACAUCCUGGGGCUGAAGCCGGUCCCAAGGGUAUGGCUGUUCGCCAUUUAAAGUGGUACGCGAGCUGGGUUUAGAACGUCGUGAGACAGUUCGGUCUCUAUCUGCCGUGGACGUUUGAGAUUUGAGAGGGGCUGCUCCUAGUACGAGAGGACCGGAGUGGACGAACCUCUGGUGUUCCGGUUGUCACGCCAGUGGCAUUGCCGGGUAGCUAUGUUCGGAAAAGAUAACCGCUGAAAGCAUCUAAGCGGGAAACUUGCCUCAAGAUGAGAUCUCACUGGGAACUUGAUUCCCCUGAAGGGCCGUCGAAGACUACGACGUUGAUAGGCUGGGUGUGUAAGCGUUGUGAGGCGUUGAGCUAACCAGUACUAAUUGCCCGUGAGGCUUGACCAU